GACGGGGGGUCCAAGCGUUGUUCGGAAUUAUUGGGCGUAAAGCGUGUGCAGGUGGUUUUAAAAGUUAGGUGUGAAAGCCCCGAGCUUAACUCGGGAAGUGCAUUUAAAACUGUAAAACUUGAGUAUGGAAGAGGGUCGUGGAAUUCCAGGUGUAGUGGUGAAAUACGUAGAUAUCUGGAGGAACACCGGUGGCGAAGGCGGCGACCUGGUCCAAUACUGACACUCAUACACGAAAGCGUGGGUAGCAAACAGG
rnacentral:rRNA from 1 species